UCCCUGGUGGUCUAAUGGUCAGAAUUCAGCAUUCUCACUGCUGCGGCCUGGGUUCGAUUCCCAGUCGGGGAA